UACGUAGGGGGCAAGCGUUAUCCGGAUUUACUGGGUGUAAAGGGAGCGUAGGCGGCGAUGCAAGUCAGAAGUGAAAGCCUGGGGCUCAACUCCGGGACUGCUUUUGAAACUGUGUUGCUAGAUUGCAGGAGAGGUAAGUGGAAUUCCUAGUGUAGCGGUGAAAUGCGUAGAUAUUAGGAGGAACACCAGUGGCGAAGGCGGCUUACUGGACUGUAAAUGACGCUGAGGCUCGAAAGCGUGGGGAGCAAACAGG
rnacentral:rRNA from 1 species